rnacentral:tRNA from 1 species
GGAGAGGUGCGAGAGUGGUUGAAUCGGACGGUCUCGAAAACCGUUAUGCCUGCAAAGGCAUCGAGGGUUCGAAUCCCUCCCUCUCCG